CUGGGAACGUGCCUUUUGGUUCGGAACAACCCAGGGAAACUUGGGCUAAUACCGGAUAAGCCCUUCGGGGGAAAGAUUUAUCGCCAGAAGAUCGGCCCGCGUCUGAUUAGCUAGUUGGUGGGGUAAUGGCCCACCAAGGCUACGAUCAGUAGCUGGUCUGAGAGGAUGAUCAGCCACACUGGGACUGAGACACGGCCCAGACUCCUACGGGAGGCAGCAGUUAGGAAUCUUGGACAAUGGGCGCAAGCCUGAUCCAGCCAUGCCGCGUGAGUGAUGAAGGCCUUAGGGUUGUAAAGCUCUUUCGGCGGGGAAGAUAAUGACGGUACCCGCAGAAGAAGCCCCGGCUAACUUCGUGCCAGCAGCCGCGGUAAUACGAAGGGGGCUAGCGUUGCUCGGAAUCACUGGGCGUAAAGCGCACGUAGGCGGCUUUCUAAGUCAGGGGUGAAAUCCUGGAGCUCAACUCCAGAACUGCCUUUGAUACUGGAGAGCUUGAGUCCGGAAGAGGUGAGUGGAACU
rnacentral:rRNA from 1 species